rnacentral:rRNA from 1 species
UACGUAGGGGGCUAGCGUUGUCCGGAUUUAUUGGGCGUAAAGAGCGUGUAGGCGGCCAGAUAGGUCUGCUGUGAAAACUCGAGGCUCAACCUCGAGCUGUCGGCGGAAACCAUCUGGCUAGAGUCCGGAAGAGGAGAGUGGAAUUCCUGGUGUAGCGGUGAAAUGCGCAGAUAUCAGGAAGAACACCUAUGGCGAAGGCAGCUCUCUGGGACGGUACUGACGCUGAGACGCGAAAGCGUGGGGAGCGUACAGG